GAAGCAGCAGCCAAUUAAAGCCACGAUUUAACCUAUGACGUCACAGACUCGACGGCCAAGACCCAGUAGCCAAUCAAGAGUUGUGACGUCACUGUUGAGGAUGUAUACAUCAUGGUUGAUCAGCCAAUGAAAGUGCUCAGAGGCUCCUACGUCACAGUCUGGUGGUGGUGCAUGUCCCCGUAAACUUGCGCCUCAGUCAUGCGCGGAAGAUGACGUAGGGGUGUCCGCUCCUCUCCUCUGGGGGAGAUUGCUCCAAAUCCUUGGAUCAAGAGCCCAUCACCUGCCAGGUGUAUGCAUGUCACGGCUCUGGCCACAGCCAAUGAAAACGAGAGUUACUAAGUUGGCGGAAAACAGAAGCCAAUUACAGCCUAGAUUUAACCUAUGACGUCACGGGUUCGAGCGCCAAAACCCAGCAGCCAAUCAGCAUUCGUGACGUCACUUGAGCCAAUCAGCGCACAGUGGUGGUGGUGCGGGAGCCUAAACUUUAUCAAGUCAAGCGCGGGAGAUGACGCGAGGGCGCGCGCUCUUCUGGGUAAGGUUGCUCCAAAUCCUUGGAUCGAGAGUCCAUCACCAGCACUCAAAAAACAAAUUGCUAAGUUGGCGGGAAGCAACAGCCAAUUACAGCGUAGAUUUAGCCUGACGUCACGGGCUUGAGCGCCAAAACCCGCAGGGCGUGACGUUUACUGUUGAUCAGCCAAUGAGAGCGCUCAGAUUACUACGUCAGUCUGGUAGUGGUGCCGUACCAUGCGUGGGAGGAGUGAGGGCGCGCGCUCCUCUGGUAAGACAUAUUUUCCUUUAUUUCUCCUAAAUUACUGGCUAUUUGUAAUUAGUGGAUUUACAUGGUAAUAUAAACAGUAUGUAUAUAUAAUCUGUAGUAGUAAUUCUGUG